rnacentral:rRNA from 1 species
CCUACGGGGUGCAGCAGUGGGGAAUAUUGGACAAUGGGCGAAAGCCUGAUCCAGCCAUGCCGCGUGUGUGAAGAAGGCCUUCGGGUUGUAAAGCACUUUCAGUGGGGAAGAAAGCCUUGGGGCUAAUACCCUCGAGGAAGGACAUCACCCACAGAAGAAGCACCGGCUAACUCCGUGCCAGCAGCCGCGGUAAUACGGAGGGUGCGAGCGUUAAUCGGAAUUACUGGGCGUAAAGCGCGCGUAGGCGGUCUGAUAAGCCGGUUGUGAAAGCCCCGGGCUCAACCUGGGAACGGCAUCCGGAACUGUCAGGCUAGAGUGCAGGAGAGGAAGGUAGAAUUCCCGGUGUAGCGGUGAAAUGCGUAGAGAUCGGGAGGAAUACCAGUGGCGAAGGCGGCCUUCUGGACUGACACUGACGCUGAGGUGCGAAAGCGUGGGUAGCAAACAGUAUUAGAUACCCUUGUAGUC